UACGUAGGGGGCAAGCGUUGUCCGGAUUUAUUGGGCGUAAAGAGCGUGUAGGCGGCCAGAUAGGUCAGCUGUGAAAACUCGAGGCUCAACCUCGAGAUGUCGGCUGAAACCACCUGGCUAGAGUCCGGAAGAGGAGAAUGGAAUUCCCGGUGUAGCGGUGAAAUGCGCAGAUAUCGGGAAGAACACCCGUGGCGAAGGCGGUUCUCUGGGACGGUACUGACGCUGAGACGCGAAAGCGUGGGGAGCGAACAGG
rnacentral:rRNA from 1 species